GCUGCGGGAUCUGGGGUUUAUUUUAGUCCGGCGCCAGGUUUACGACAGACUCGGGGGGCGGAGCAACAUCCCAAACGAGCAAACAAUGGUCAUUGACAUCUUUUUCUCUCGUCCCCCCCUCCCCAUAACGCAGGCAAAAAAAGAUCCUUAAGCAUCAUUUUGCGGGCAACCGAACGGACACUUUCCAAAUUAGCUCAAAGUAUCCAAGUCCAAAGAAGAGAGAAAACAGACACUGACAAAUACAAAGAUGCUAACUUCAAAGAGAAUGACCACUGGUGCAAUAUUGAAUGAAAGUGAUGAAAGAAGAUAUUCCUGCUUUUUUUCCAGUCUUGGGGGAAAACAUUCAGUCUUUCACUGGUAUUUUGAUCACAGCAAGACGAAAGCUGACUACAAGUGGCAGGGCCUCACUGAGUUGCUAAAGCUGACCUUGAACACGUGAUGCUCCUGUUCCAGCCUUCCAAGUUAAUGGGAUUAUAAAUACGCACCACCAUGCCCAGCAACUGGGCUGUUCUUUUUAUUAUUAUUAUUAUUUUAAUUUUUCUUUUAUUAGAGCUUUACAGUCAUACAUUUACAGUUAUGCAUGGUAGUUGGGUUCAUCCUGACACACUCAUACUUGCCUGGAAUUCUAUUUUAGUUCAUGAUCUCCCCUCUUUCCACUUUUUUCUCUCUUCCUCCCUCCCUUCUCCCCUUCUCCUUCCUCUACUCUAUUAAACCUCCUUUCACUCAUCUAUAAA